ensembl:lncRNA
CAUAUUUAUAUUUGUCACUUGUCCAAUAAUGUCUUUCAUUUUUUUUUCCAUUGGCCACAAUCCUUUGCAACAUUUUAUUGUCAAGGAUUUUUAGUCUCCUUUAAACUGGAACAGGCCCAGGAGUUCCUGUCGUGGCACAGUGGAAACGAAUCUGACUAGAAACCAUGAGGCUGUGGGUUCAACCCCUGCCCUCACUCAGUAGGUUAAGGAUCUGGUGUUGCUGUGAGCUGUGAUGUAGGUCGCAGAUCUGGCUCGAACCCUGCAUUGCUAUGGCUGUGGCAUAGGCGGGCAGGUGUAGCUCCAAUUCAUCCCCUAGCCUGGGAACCUCUAUAUGCCUCGGGUGGAGCCCUAAAAAGCAAAAAAUAAAUAAAAAUAUAAAUAAAUUGGAACAGGUACAGAGUUCUGUUAUGGCACAGCUGAUGAAGGAUCUGACAUCACCAUGAUGGCUUGUGUUGCUGCUAGUGUCUCAGGUUCGGUCCCCAGCCCAGGAACUUCGACAUGCCCCAGACACAACCAGAAAUAAACUGAAACAGGUCCUCAGCCUUUCUUGACCUUGUCAUUUUUGAAGAGUAAAGGACUUGUUUUUUUAACAUUUCAGUUUGGGUUUGUCUGAUGUCUCCUUAGGAUUGCAUUUUUGGCAGAAAUAUCAAGAAUGUGACUCUGUCCUUGAUGCAUCUUAUCUAGUGGCACAUGGUAAUAAUAAUUUGAAUGACUUACAAAGUCGCUUUUUCCCUUCACAGUCAAUUUGUGAAGGAUAAGUAGAGCCUAUUAAGUAUCCAAUUCCUAUCAAACUGUCACCCACUAUUAACUGUUUUUUUUUUUUUCCUAAGUUCUUUUCAUGGGCAUUCUACUGUAAGGAAGUGUUUUCUGUAGAGGGUAGACUGGUUUAUUUUUCCUGUGCUAGGGAUCAGAUCCAAGCCAAAGCAAGAGCAAUGCUGGAUCCUUUAACCCACUGCCCUGGGCGGCCUGGGGGUCCUGCUUGUGUCCUGGCACUGCAGAGACAGCAUCUAUCCCACUGCACCACAGUGGGAACUCCAGGGGUCAGAUCAAAAGAGAUGUUUGGUUUCUAGGAAGAGAAGGAAUCAUUUUGGAGUUUGAGAAAGUUGCUGAAGGGAGAGCUUUCAUGGCAGUUUGUACUCUUACUGCAGAACACAGGUCAGGGGUUUCCCAAGCCAAUGGCCAAAACAGGAACUGGAGGCAACUUUUACAUAAAUAAGAGGAAUGUGUAAUAGAAAGUAAACUGUGUCCUCAGAGUUGCUGUUGUAGCUCAGUAGUAACAAACCCAACUAGUAUCCAUGAGAAUACGGGUUCGAUCCCUGGCCUUGUUCAGUGGGUUAAGGACCCAGCAUUGCCAUGAACUGUGGUGUAGGUGGGGAGCUGCAGCUCCAGUUUGACCCCUAGCCUGGGAAUGUCUAUAUGCCACAUGUGGAGAACCCUAAAAAGCAAAAAAAUGUAAAAAGUGUCUUCAAAGAGUUCCCAUCGUGGCUCAGUGGUUAACGAAUCCGACUAGGAACCAUGAGGUUGUGGGUUCAACACCUGGCCUCACUCAGCGGGUUAAGGAUCCAGCAUUGCCAUGAGCUGUGGUGUAGGUGACCGACGUGGCUUGGAUCUGGUGUUGCUGUGCUGUGGCCCUGCACCACAGCCACAAGCAACAUCACAUCUAAGCCACAUCUGCAACCUACACCACAGCUCACAGCAACGCCAGAUCCUUAACCUACUGAGCAAGGCCAGGGAUCUGAAUCUGCAUUCUCCCAGAGACCACCUCGGGUCCCCAAACCUGCUGAGCCACAACAGGAACUUUUAAAUAUAUUCUAUAUUUUUAUAUAUAUGUAUAUAUGAAAUAUAUUUAAAUAUGUUUGCAUUUUCAGGAAAAGUACAAAACGCUGGUCUUGAAAAUAGUGUGAUGAGUGUCCUCUGUACUCAGACAACUUUAACAAUAUAUGCCUACACUUACUCUAAAUAAUUUUGGAGGAAAUCCUAGACAUUUCUAUUAAAGAUAGUUCAGUAUAUACCUCUAAAAAGACUCCUUAAGUCCUGUUCCUCUAUAGGAUCUUCCAGGUGUUGUGUUUUUUUGUUUGUCUUAUCCUUGCAGUGUAUUUGUUGAAGGUCACUAUUCAGUUUCCUAGUUUUGAUUUUGCUGAUAGCACCCUCAUGACAUCAUUUAGCAUAUUCUGCCCCCUGUGUUCCCUGUGAAUUAAUAAACCUAGAGUAGUGGUUCUCGAGGUGUGGCUCCUGGAUCAGAAUUAUCGGCAUCAUCUGGGAACUUGUUAGAAAUGAAGUUUAUCGGAAUUCUCAUUGUAGCUCAGCAGGUUACGAACCUGACUUGUAUCCAUGAGGAUGUGGGUUCCAUCCCUGUCCACACUCAGUGUGUUAAGAAUCCAGCAUUGCCAUGAGCUGUGGUGUAGGCCAGCACCUACAGCUCUGAUUCAGCCCCUAGCCUGAGAACUUCCAUAUGCCACUGGUGCAGCCCUACAAAGAUGAAAAAAAAAUUUCUCAAUAAUACCCACCCCAGACUCUCUGAAUCAGAAACUCUGUAGGUGGAGCCCAGCUAUAGAGGUUUCAUUUUUAAUGCUUCCAGGUGAGUCUGGGGCAUGCUAAAAUUUCAGAGUCGUUAUUCUGGAGGCUUUUUAUCAGCUUAUGAUUCAGUUUUUGUUGUUGCCUUGUUUUAUCUUUAGUCAGUGGGAGUCAACUCAAGUUAGUUCCUGAGGUUUUUUGGUUUUUCCUUUUUUUUUUUUUUUUUUCCUCUUUUGGCCAUCCCAAGACAUGUGGAAUUCCUGGGCUAGGGAUCAAAUCCAGGCCACAGUUACAACCUAUGCUGCAGCUGUGGCAACACCAGAUCCUUAACCCACAGUGCCAGACCAGAGAUCAAAACUGCUUCNNNNNNNNNNNNNNNNNNNNNNNNNNNNNNNNNNNNNNNNNNNNNNNGAAUUCCCUGAGUUCUUUUAAUAAUCUUACCAGCUGUUUUGCUUUCUGGCAUAAGAUUUCCAGGCUCAUAUUUCUAGUCCCAAACCUGGAAUCAAGGCAUUUCUCCCAGGAGCCCUGGUUAUUUUUGUUUGGAAAUGGUAUUUAGCAACCACAUCUUAGGCCGUGUGGGGUUCAUUGCUAAUACUCUGGCCACACAGAUCAUGUUACAUGUUUUCAACAGUAUUUUUUUGGAUCUGUCUGCUACAGUAUGGAAAUAAAAACAAAAAUAAAUGGGACUU